rnacentral:rRNA from 1 species
CGAGGUGGAAGCGUGGUGACACGUGCAGCUGACGAAUACUAAUCGAUCGAGGACUUAACUAA